GAGACAGCAGUAGCAAUAAAACAUGUGCGUGACCCUUCAGAUAGCCAGUGACACAGACAUAACCGUACGUUUCAUGACAAAUUGCUUUCCAUCCAUGCAGAAAGAGGGAAAAUUAGUUUUCCCUGAUAUAAUCUACCAAUAAAGACCCCAUACAACAAAUUUGGUCUGCUUGAUAGAGUGAAGUACACUGCAAAAUUAAGUAAACCCAUGGGGGAAAAAUCGAUACUCUGUAAUUGAAUUAGACUGCAGCAAAGCUGUAUCUCAGAUCAGACCAAUAAGGUGCAAUGAUGUCUAUACAUCAAAGAGCUUCGUGACAGAAUUUUUUUUCAUGCUGACAAGGCAAAAAACAAAUCUAAUUUACCUAUUUCUAUCGUUAAUGAUUUCAAUGCAAACAAUAUGAAGUCUUUUUUGAUGAUCUAUGAAAGCUAGCAAACAGUAUAUGUAACAAAAUAUGUAAAAUUAUCUUUAAAAUUGGUUAUUGGCUCCCACACUGAAUAUGUAGGCAAAAAUAAUUGUACUUGUCUCUGCAGAAUUUGUUCUCUUCCUACAAAGUUAGUUUGACUAGAAAUAUCAGAGAAACAAAACAUUUCGUUGGUUCAGCCUUGGACCAAAUGUGUAAGUUACCAUUCGGAUGCUACCUGUCAACUUAGAGUAACCAGGCAAGGUACAUUGGCCAGGUUGUUUUGGUGCCUGGGGGCUUUGUAAUUAUGUUGGGGUUGUUGGACAAACUUGCUGGGACACUUUUGAAUUUGUACAAUGAAAACAAGCAAUGGUUCAGACUUCUAAGGCCUGGAAAGGUUUACGCUUGAAGUAAAAGUCUUUUGGAAACAAUGUAAGUACCAACCAAAAGGGAGGGCGGUAGAGUACAAGUACUUGAACUAGUCUGGUGAAAGUGUAAAGGACGUUUCAAUAAAUACUCAGCAAAUAGGGGAAUAGGAGAUUCCAAAAACACAUUGAAAUGUGUUUCUGUACAUUCUAUAACACUGUAACACACCUAUGAACCCUACAUGUAAGAGGGCAGGGGGCAGGGAAGCAGAAAGCCCAGCCCAGGUGUUGGUUGAUGUCCGGGUGACAAGGCAUAUGUCCACAAACAAAGGCGCAUUGUGAACCAUGUACUGGAAUUCCCAAGGUCGGUGGUACGUUACAUGCAACAUUCUAUAGUGCCUUUUUUGCUGGACAAGCUUGUAACCCAUGCUUCUGGCAAGCUUGGUAAAGACGGUUACAGAAGCAAAUCUACAUAAUGGACAAUUGCUUUUUAUUCAUAUUGUGUUUUCUAGAGAAGUGCAGACAAUUGCAUAGUAUAUGGCAUGGCGACUCAUUAGUAAGAUGAAAAUAUUCAAGGAUUGUUGCUUUAGGAGGGGCAGGACACACACAAAAAUCUAUGGCUGUUUAACGCGAAAAGAACGACAGCUAAAAACCGUUGCACAUGCUUUGUACUGGUAGGGCAAACACGAGAGCCCCUCCCACCCAUACUGCACUUGUCUGUGCCCGACCUCCAACGAGGCACUUUAUUUGAACAACUCGUGGACGGACUCGAGACGAGAAAGGCAAACAUGAUUGGGUGAUUUACAGUGGGCCCGCGCCGACACAACAAGCCCAUGACGUGUGCGCAGAGCCACCUCACCAACCGUUAUACGUCAAGCCAGCCUCUCCGAAAUCCAAUUAUAGGUAAAACACUGUUUGCUACGUGUACAGGGGUAUAAUCCAUGUGCUGGUACAAAAUCCACAGUUGUUUUCUCCAGUUUUACAUGCUUCACAAAGGCAGAUCACAGAACAUGAUAAUUUGACAAUAGAAAAUGCUUACUUUUAACUCCUGAUGCACUAUACAUUAGCCAAAACCAGUGUUACUUUUGCUUUGGAUGGUUAAUCCUUGCCAAACAUACCUAUACACCCUCAGGACAAAUGGAUAGCUACAACAAGCACUUUUACAAGUGUACACAAAUUGUUAAAAAAUCCACUUUUCACGAGCCCCAUUUUCCUGUUUGAAUUUUCUUUCCAAUCAAACAGUUGGGCAGUAACACAAUUGCCAUGUCCGUCUCUUUGUCCAAGGCAUAAACGAAUGACCCAAUGCAAACAAACUGGGCCAGCGUCCAAAGAACGUCAAGCCAUCACAGGUCACACAAAAAAGCAGGUGUUACAACGGGAGGUCAACCUACAUCGCGGACAGGGGCUACCUGCUUCCUACAACGGCUUUUGUUUGAACCGACCCCAUUUACAGUUGAAACAAAAUAUUUGUACGUCCCUGGCUGGUAGAAACAAUUGUGUAAUCAACCAUCAAUCUGAUUAGUCGACAAAUUUAAACACAGUGUUUGCUCAUUGCCCAACGGUCUGGUUGUCAGCGUGCUCAGCGGAGAUAAAACUCACUUGCACUUUGUGUCUAUCGUCCGUGCUAAUAGCUUGUUUGGGACCACAAAAGCAGGGGGAACAAGAAGGCUUAGAUAGACUAUGUGCAACUUUGAAAGGGAAAAAAAGGAAAUUUGUAGCAAAUAAUGUAUGAAAUUGAUUAAAAAUAGUAUUAUUUGUUGUCCAUAGACAUGGAAAUAUUGCAAUAAAAGAACACUUCAAAAGCCUGAUAUAUUCUUUUGAAUUCAGACUUUGUCUAUGUAUGAAGACAACUUAUUUCAGCAAGACCAAAUAAUUAAGUCCAAGCACAAUGCAUUUGAAUGUUGUCUACUGAAAAGGUGUCAAAAGAAGUGUGCAAGUCGUCUUUUUCAACUGGGGCAAAUCCCAGACCCUGAGAAAUAAAUCUAAGGCCGCUAGUCGACAAAGAAUGAUGGCAAGACGUCCCCUGAUUAUGUAUGGAAGUUGCACCUGAGAUGCAUAUGUAAUACAAGUCCUCGCUAUACACAAAGCGUGCAUUGUCACAAGUAACCGUUACAACUGCCCUAAAAUGGAAGAAAUCUUGGGGCACGGGGCCCGGGGUUACUGCACUUUAAACACCGUUACGUGACAUUUGGACGAUUUAUGGCCGAACUGGGGUCUGAACAUCGCCCGACGCCGGGAAAUUAUGAAUAAUUGAUCAAUACUGUGCAUUUCUGGCGGGUCCGACGCGCGUGGCUUAUUGUUAUUGUAAUGUAUGGCGCCGUCUUCGUGGCGUGGGGAGCUGAAACCUGAGCGUGGCGUGGGGGAAAGAACAAGAACAAAGCACGGCAAAGUGACACCAAAACGGUUGGUCCCGGAAGCGGAGAUGCGCAGAAAAAUUCUCGCUUUCUGCCCGGCUUCGCCUGACUCGCACAGAACAAGGCUGUCACAACACAGACAUGGGAGACUUACCCGGGCAUUUAACGUGCCACGGCGACCCGUUAUAAACCACAACAGCUUGAAAACACCGAACUCUGACGCCGUGGCUCUGAAGACUAAAGAAGUUCCACAGGGUAGAAAGCAAAGGAUUUGCUUGUUGUUGGAGAUCCGCCGGGCUCUGGAAGGGAAUACCAAUGGGCAUUUAGAAAAGCCAUGUCUAAAUCCGAGAUAAAAUGGCCACACAAGCCGACCAUGCUGGAAACACGUGUCGGUGUUUUCCAGCACUUGCCUUGGUGUAUACUUUGCUUGGACUGAUACAGAAACGUGCCAAUA